UACAGAGGGUGCGAGCGUUGUUCGGAAUCAUUGGGCGUAAAGCGCUUGUAGGCGGCUUGUUAAGUCGCGUGUGAAAUCCCUUGGCUCAACCAAGGAAGUGCGCGCGAAACUGGCGAGCUCGAGUGCCGGAGAGGGUCGCGGAAUUCCCGGUGUAGAGGUGAAAUUCGUAGAUAUUCGCAAGAACACCAGUGGCGAAGGCGGCUCACUGGCCCGAUACUGACGCUGAGGCGCGAAAGCUAGGGGAGCAAACGGG
rnacentral:rRNA from 1 species